CUCUCAGAAGAGCUGAUGAAGUGCUUUCAAGCUGAUGGUCAGCAGUUUCUGCUUGCUGUGGACAGAAAUUGGACAACCAUUUGAGAUUGAGACAAGAAGGGGACCAGAACUUGGGGGACAGCCUCAGUGCAAAGGAAGAGCUGCUGAAAAAGCCUGGAAAGGAAAAGCCAAAGAGCUGCCCGCUGCCUCCCUUCGGAGCUCAGAGUCCUGUGACGUCCAAGCCCUGCCGGGUGAAGUUAGCAGACACGGG